GAUGAACGCUAGCGGCAGGCGUAACACAUGCAAGUCGAGGGGUAGAAGUCUUCGGACUUUGAGACCGGCGCACGGGUGCGUAACGCGUAUGCAAUCUGCCUUGUACAAAGGGAUAGCCCAGAGAAAUUUGGAUUAAUGCCUUGUAGUAUAACGAUAUGGCAUCAUAUUGUUAUUAAAGAUUUAUCGGUACAAGGUGAGCA
rnacentral:rRNA from 1 species